UACGUAGGGGGCUAGCGUUGUCCGGAUUUACUGGGCGUAAAGAGCGCGUAGGCGGUCUUGUAAGUGUGAAGUGAAAUCUCCAGGGCUCAACCCGGAAACUGCUUUGCAUACUGCGAGACUAGAGGGAUGCAGAGGUUUGUGGAAUUCCUGGUGUAGCGGUGAAAUUCGUAGAUAUUCGCAAGAACACCAGUGGCGAAGGCGGCUCACUGGCCCGGUACUGACGCUGAGGUGCGAAAGCGUGGGGAGCAAACAGG
rnacentral:rRNA from 1 species